UACGAAGGGGGCUAGCGUUGUUCGGAAUUACUGGGCGUAAAGGGCGCGUAGGCGGUCCCUCAAGUCAGGCGUGAAAGCCCCGGGCUCAACCUGGGAACCGCGCUUGAGACUGAUGGGCUAGAGUUCGGGAGAGGAUGGUGGAAUUCUCAGUGUAGAGGUGAAAUUCGUAGAUAUUGGGAAGAACACCGAUGGCGAAGGCAGCCAUCUGGACCGACACUGACGCUGAGGCGCGAAAGCGUGGGGAGCAAACAGG
rnacentral:rRNA from 1 species